rnacentral:rRNA from 1 species
GACGAACGCUGGCGGCGUGCUUAACACAUGCAAGUCGAACGGAAAGGCCCUGCUUUUGUGGGGUGCUCGAGUGGCGAACGGGUGAGUAACACGUGAGUAACCUGCCCUUGACUUUGGGAUAACUUCAGGAAACUGGGGCUAAUACCGGAUAGGAGCUCCUGCUGCAUGGUGGGGGUUGGAAAGUUUCGGCGGUUGGGGAUGGACUCGCGGCUUAUCAGCUUGUUGGUGGGGUAGUGGCUUACCAAGGCUUUGACGGGUAGCCGGCCUGAGAGGGUGACCGGCCACAGUGGGACUGAGAUACGGCCCAGACUCCUACGGGAGGCAGCAGUGGGGAAUAUUGCACAAUGGGCGGAAGUCUGAUGCAGCAACGCCGCGUGCGGGAUGACGGCCUUCGGGUUGUAAACCGCUUUCGCCUGUGACGAAGCGUGAGUGACGGUAAGGGGUAAAGAAGCACCGGCUAACUACG